rnacentral:tRNA from 1 species
UAGACUUUAAGUUAAAAAAACUAAGGGUUUUCCAAGCCCCCCAUAUGCUAGCAUAAGUCUUA